CUCCCCCUCUUCCUCCUGGGGCGCCUCCACCUCUUCAGUCCUCCCCCCAACUUUAGGAACCACCAUCCCCUGAGUGCACACGUUUAGGGGACCCCCCCCCGCACCCCCUCUGUGCCCUCAGACCGCCCCGCCCCCACAGCUCCCGCCUGAACCCCACGGGAGACCCGGCCCAGGCCCCAGCACUGCGGGCGCCUGCCCAGCCUGGUACCCCGGGACCUCAGGGCUCCCCAUCGUGUGCUGGACACACACCCCAGUCCCCGGCACCCUGGGCUGCCUGUCUUGGGCACCCACUGAGCCCUGCAGGGACUGGGGGUGCAGGGGACCCCCCACACCCCCACUCCAGGGCCUUUGCAGCCCUCUUGCAAGAUGGGGAAACUGAGUCCAGGAGGCCUCCCCAGGGUCUCAGCAUUGCUGGGGGAGCCGAGGCCCGGAGGGGCAGGUGAGAAGCCCCAGCCUCGGGGUCACUGCUGGGGUCCCCCGAGUCACGGUCCUUUAUUCUACCCAUCCGGGCUGGCUGUCCACUCGCCGCUCCCAAAGGGCAUUGUGUGGGUCCCCCUUUGGGGACGGGGAGAGGGUGCCCUCAACUUACCUUGAUUUCCCAGAAGGGCUUUGGGGGUUUGGGGGCUCAGCACUGGGCUGGGGGUUACAUUUUGGCGGGGGGACCCUGGGGUUGGGGCGACUGGCACCAUCCCCGCGUCCACCCCUGAUUGCUGACGCCCUGCAUCCCGGCCGGGGGACUCAGGACCAAGGUGGACGCUGGCUUGAGGCGCACGCGGCCCCUGAACCCCCUUACCCUGCCUGGUGCCUGAACGGUGUCAUCCAGAGGCGGGUCCGGCUCCCUGUCCACCCCGCCUCGGGGUUCGAGGCCAGGGCAGGACCCGUGGGCUCUGGGCGACCUCCUGGGGUCACUGAGUUGCGCCCUCAGGCCUGCUGGCUCGAAGGUGGGUACACCAGUCCCGUUGCUGGGUCUGCUGGGUGCCCGGCUCGGGGCAGAGCGGCCCGCACGGCGGCCUGGACCUGCUGCAGACUCCUCUUGUUGUGAGCCCCCCUCACAACGAGCAGCUUUCGGGGUCACUGGGUAAACGGGCCUGAGCAGGACCCUAAGUGAGCAAUGCGUUGCCUCCAAAAUCCACACGGCCUUGCUCCCCUUUUCUGGGUGUAGGGGAGCCAGGUCCAGCAAGUCACCUUUUCCCUUAGGAAAGCAGGGGUGUCCCUCCGUGCCCCACGCCCGGGGCUCCGGGGAACCUCUCCGAGGUGCAAGGACCUUGGGGUGACCCGGGCUGGCCAGUUAGCUCUGAGGUGAGACGGUGCCGGGCACUGCUGGUCCUGGCCUUUGCUUGGAGAGCCUCCGGGCUGAGCCUCGAACUCAGACCCUUCCUCCCAGCUGGGUUCCAAGUUAGGGUUCAGUUCUUUACCCGGGGCUGGAGCUGGAUUUUCCACCCCUGAGCUCUGCCUUUGCCUUUAGCACUGCAUCCUCAGCGAGAAGUCCUGAGUUCGAGUCCUGGUACGGGAAAAAAAAUUUUUGUCCUCAGAGUCAGAAGGCUCCAGGGUCCCUGAGGGUGUUUUGAGGUCACUGAUUCCCUGUCCUGGUUUGUCCCCGAAUGCUAAGACCAUCUGGAAAGCCUCAUCACACUUCCCACCCGGCUGGGUUCUGAUGCCAGCACUCGGGAGGCUGAGGCAGGAGGAUCGCUGUGAGUUCCAGGCCAGCUUGCAAAACACAGGGAGACUCUGUCUCAAGAUAAAAACCAAAAAAAUCCCUUGCACUGCCCCGAAGGUAUUCAGAAAGAUCCUGUGCGAAGUUCUUAAAUUCCUUGUAUUCCACAUUUUAAUGAUACGGUUUUUCUGGGGGCACCGUGGGGUUUGGGGACCGAGGUGGACGGGUUCCAGCGUUGGAUGUUUACAACUGCCUUUCUGCUGGAUGGCGCUCGGCAGCGGCUGUCACCAGGUUUCUGAUCUCAGCAGGUGCAGACCCUGAGGACCGAGGACCCAGAGCUGCUGGGACAGCGUCCGCGACCCGGGAGGAGCCGGGCAGAGCCAGGAGGAUUCUGGGGAUGCUUCAUAGCUUGUGUCUUUUACGACAGGGUACUGUUUUUAAAAAAUUAAAAUGUCCGGCGAAUUAGA